CAAUCAUGAACCCCCCCCCCCCAAAAAAAAAGGGAAAACAGAGCAAGGUGCAAAGUGGAGGAAAGAUUGGAGACUACAUAAGACUUUGACAGAUGGCGGGAAACCCUCAUGAACUGGAUAGAAGCCGGUAGAAGAAUGUCUGCGACUAAGCCGAGGGCCACUUGAUAAGGGUUGUUGAUGGUAAAACAGGUAGAAGAAUGUCUGCGACUAAGCCGAGGGCCACUUGAGAAGGGUUGUUGAUGGUAAAACAGGUAGAAGAAUGUCUGCGACUAAGCCGAGGGCCACUUGAUAAGGGUUGUUGAUGGUAAAACAGAUUGGAGACUACAUAAGACUUUGACAGAUGGCGGGAAACCCUCAUGAACUGGAUAGAAGCCGGUAGAAGAAUGUCUGCGACUAAGCCGAGGGCCACUUGAUAAGGGUUGUUGAUGGUAAAA